rnacentral:rRNA from 1 species
AUUGAACGCUGGCGGCAGGCUUAACACAUGCAAGUCGAACGAGUGGCGGACGGGUGAGUAAUGCUUGGGAAUCUAGCUUAUGGAGGGGGAUAACUACGGGAAAAUGUAGCUAAUACCGCGUACCAUAGGAUGAGCCCAAGUGGGAGUAGGUAGUUGGUGAGGUAAAGGCUCACCAAGCCGACGAUCUCUAGCUGGUCUGCGAGGAUGACCAGCCAACCGGUGCCUGAGACACGGCCCAGACUCCUACGGGAGGCAGCAGUGGGGAAUAUUGCACAAUGGGCGCAAGCCUGAUGCAGCCAUGCCGCGUGUGUGAAGAAGGCCUUCGGGUUGUAAAGCACUUUCAGCGAGGAGGCGUUACUCGCAGAAGAAGCACCGGCUAACUCCGUGCCAGCAGCCGCGGUAAUAC